AACGAACGCUGGCGGCAUGCCUAACACAUGCAAGUCGAACGAGACCUUCGGGUCUAGUGGCGCACGGGUGCGUAACGCGUGGGAACCUGCCCUUAGGUUCGGAAUAACUCCCCGAAAGGGGUGCUAAUACCGGAUCAUGUCUUCGGACCAAAGAUUUAUCGCCUUUGGAUGGGCCCGCGUUGGAUUAGCUAGUUGGUAGGGUAAAAGCCUACCAAGGCGACGAUCCAUAGCUGGUCUGAGAGGAUGAUCAGCCACACUGGGACUGAGACACGGCCCAGACUCCUACGGGAGGCAGCAGUGGGGAAUAUUAGACGAUGGGCGAAAGCCUGAUCCAGCAAUGCCGCGUGAGUGAUGAAGGCCUUAGGGUUGUAAAGCUCUUUUACCCGGGAUGAUAAUGACGGUACCGGGAGAAUAAGCUCCGGCUAACUCCGUG
rnacentral:rRNA from 1 species